rnacentral:lncRNA from 1 species
GCUGUUAUCCUGUAUGCCCAGAAGAUAAGCCAAUAUUUGAUGAAACAAACCAGAUAUGUGUGGAAAUAUGUGAUGUUUGCUUUUACAAUGGGACCUACUACAAUAACUCUGACGUCAUCUACAAUGUCACUGACAACAUGGGAAUGUGCUAUUACGCAAUUUGCAUUAAUGCAACAGUGAUACAUUCAAAUAUCACCUGCGGGACCACAACAACUGAACUUUCCUACUACUACAACUACACAGACAACUACAACUCACCCACCAACAACAACGACCGAACCACCCACUACAACAACCUGAACCCUCCUACUACUACAACCACACCCCCAACAACAACGACCGAACCUCCCACUACAACAACUGAACCUCCUACUACUACAACUACACAGCCAACUACAACCACACCACCAACAACAACGACCGAACCUCCCACUACAACAACUGAACCUCCCCACUACUACAACCACACCCCCAACAACAACGACUCCGAACCUCCCACUACAACAACCAAACCUCCUACUACUACAACUACACAGCCAACGACAACCACACCAGCUACAACCACAACCAAGCCUCCAACGACAACAACUCCUGUAACUACUACAUGUAUUCCAACAACAAUAUGUGAGUGGUCAGACUGGUAUGAUGUGCAUGAUCCAAAGACAGACAAAGUGACUGGGAAACCUAUGAAACUCACAAACAGUGGUCUCGAAAUAUGUGAAAAUAUUGAAGACAUUGAAUGUAGGGCAAACUGAUUAUCCAGAACACAGCUUGGAUGACUUGUAAGUCAAAACUGCCAAGUUGUUUCCUUGAUAAGGGAUAUGGACUAAUAUGUAGAAAAGAGGAUCAAAUACGGCCUCCACGAAAGUGCUUUAACUACAAGAUCAGAGUGAACUGCUGUGAUGUGGUGCCAUGUGGGACCACAACGACAACCACACCAACAACAACCAAGCCUCCCACUACAAACAACUACACAGCCAACUACAACCACACCAACAACAAAGCCUCCCACUACAACGACACAGACAACUACAACCACACCAACAACAACAAUCCCCCAACUACAACUACAACCACGCCACCAACAACAACCAAGCCUCCACUACAACAACUACCCAGCCAACUACACCACACCCACAACCACAAGCCUCCACUACAACUACACCAAGCCUCCCACACAGCCAACCUACAACCACACCAACCACCAAGCCUCCCCAGCUACUACUACAACCACCACCACCAACGACAACGACCGAACCUCCCACUACAACUACCACAACAACCAAGCCCCCCACUACAACUACCCAGCCAACUACAACCACACCAACAACCACCAACCUCCCACUACAACUACAACCAAGCCUCCCACACAGCCAACUACAACCACACCACCAACAACAACAACCGAACCUCCCACUACAACUACCACAACAACCAAGCCCCCCACUACAACAACUUCACAGCCAACUACAACCACACCAACAACCACCAAGCCUCCUACUACAACUACAACCACGCCACCAACAACAACCAAGCCUCCUACUACAACUACACAGACUACAACCACACCAACAACAACAAGCCUCCCACUACAACAACAACCAAGCCCCCACUACAGACAACUACACAGCCAACUACAACCACACCAACAACCACCAAGCCUCCCACUACUACUACAACCACACACCAACAAAGACCGAACCUCCCACUACAACUACCACAACAACAACCACCAAGCCUCCCACUACAACUACAACCACGCCACCAACAACAACCAAGCCUCCCACUACAACUACACAGACAACUACAACCACACCAACAACCACCAAGCCUCCCACUACAACUACCACAACAACCAAGCCCCCCACUACAACAACUACACAGCCAACUACAACCACACCAACAACCACCAAGCCUCCCACUACUACUACAAUCACACCACCAACAACGACCGAACCUCCCACUACAACAACUGAACCUCCUACUACUACAACUACACAGCCAACGACAACCACACCACCAACCAAGCCUCCCACUACAACUACACAGACAACUAGUCCAAACUGGCUCCACACGUACAACACUGUAUUCAACUAGCCCUCAAGUGGGAAUACCUACUACUACUCCAAUUAUCACUACAGAAUGCAGCUGUAUUUUUAAUGGCACAAGUUACAGGCCAGGUAUGAAACCAGUUAAUAACCACAGUUAUGUUUAUGACAGAUGAAGAUGAUAGAAGUAAUGUUUUACCAAUUUUAAACAGCCUUACUGUGAUUAAACUUGUGUUCCGCUUGUAUAGGGAGAGGAAAUCUUUCAUAUGAACCCAUUGGAGCAGGCAUAUGUCUCACAAUGACAUGUUCUGAUAUUUGUGAAUUUCAAAACAAAACUGAAUUAUGCCCAACAACCAUGCCUCCAACUACAUCCAUGCCUUCAACUACAACCAGAGUACCUGACUGCCCUGACUGGGAAGUCUCAGUAAGACUGUUACUGUAGUCAGCAAAUUCAAUUGUAAAAUUUAAAACAAUUCAAUUGCAUUAUACUAUACACAUAGUACAUGUUAACUUGUUCAGCAAUAAGCUUACUUGCAUUUGCCUGCUAAUUUAAUGUCUACUUUUUCAUUUUUCUCUCAGCAAAAUGAGACCUUCAUGCUGUGCAACUGCACCAUGGCCAAAUGCAUUGAGAACAAUACAAUUGUGAUUGUUCCAUAUGAAUGUCCACCCCUUCAAAAUAUAACUUGCACCAAUGGAAAGAAACCAGUGCUUGUAUAUGACGACUACUACUGCUGCCAAUAUUACAUCUGUGACUGUGAGUUCUUCUGUAGAUUAAUUGCAUUUUAUUAACUUCUAUGUAUUUGUUUACAUACAUUUCAGAUUGUGAACAUGUUGUGUCUGUUUCUCAGGUGUGUGGUGAAGGAUGGGGAGAUCCCCAUUACAUACAUUUGAUGGGCUCUACUACAGUUAUCAAGGAAACUGCACCUAUGUCUUGAUGGAGGAAAGAAUAGCAAGACAUAACCUGAAGAUUUAUAUUGACAAUGUCUUUUGUGAUCCUACUGAAGAUGUUUCAUGUCCCGAUCAAUAAUAAUUUCAUAUGGACUAUAUGUUGUCACACUUGUGAAUCAUAACCUUAUUGGAGCAGCACAGUUGGAGGUAAAACUAUAAGUAACAUGGUGAAUUAAUGUUUUAUGUAUCUGAAAUACUCAUCAGACGAUUGUUGUAUAUAUUAUAAUG